GGCCGCCAUCUUCCCGGUUUGCACAAGCGCUGCUGCUCCUCUGGCGGAGGCGGCGGCGGCGGCGGCGGCGGCGGCGGCGGCGGCGGGAGCG
rnacentral:miRNA from 1 species